GCAAGUCAUGGACUUUUAGUACCUGUCAGUCACGUAAUCAACUAAAUUAUUUAAGCCAACAUGCAUUUCUUUGUACCCAAUUCUUGUUCUCCACUUUUGCUGUAGGCAGCCCCACACAGAAUUUUUUCCUUUUGAGCAUGGCGAUUUCACCAUCAUAUACGGCAAUUGAAAUCAAUUUUCACUGCAGUUGAGUGGCUUCCCAACAAGCGAACCCAAAGCAAUGUCCAUCUCAACUCUCCGGCUGCGGUGCAGUGCAUGUAACUGUCAAAUGGGGUAACAACAACAAAAACAACAACAAUGAGAUAAACAACAACAGCAUCAACGAGAACAACAACUGUCAUAUAUAUCAAAUUUUUCUCAAACUUUUACCACAUACGAACGGGCAGACGGCACAGCAGACAACUGCGGGUUUUAUAUGACACUGUUUACCUUUGCCAACAACAACAACAACAAUAACAAAAGCAACAACAACAACAACAACAACCGUAACAAUAACAACAAUCACAUGAUUUACGAUUGAGUUGCGCCUUGCUUAAAAACAAUGUCAUUUAAUUCUGACGCUCAGGCAAGGCUAACGAGCAGCGAACAGCAACAAAAUAAAACCAUAAACUUUCGACAGCAACGCGGCGUAUGAGCAAUGCGCGCACAAGCCAAAUAUUCCACAUACGCCUCGUGUGUCACUUUGCAUUAGCAUUCGUUUGCCGUACUGUGCUGUGUUGUGUUCUGUUGGGUUUUCCCAUUUGUUUUUGCAUACUUUGAAGCGACAUGCACGCAAAUCAUUGAAAACUCGCAAGGAAAUUUACGUUUUCAUGUAUAUUUUCACAAUAUUGAAUUUAAUAGAAUUAAUUUUCAAUAGAAUUUAUAUACAAUUUUGAAUGGAACGUGGUGAAAAUUCAAAAGGUAAAUGAAUUUUAACCGAAAAUGAUGUUGAUAUAUUUUAAUGCUCAUUAAUUGUAAAAGCCGAACCAUUAUCAAAAAGCCAAUUCUCGUCAUGAGACGAGGCCAAACCAAAUCUCAUGAAAAUCGCCUAGAAUUUGACCGCGUUAUGAGAAAGGGAAGUUUGGACUGGUAUAAGAAUUAAGUAAAAAAACCAUGCCUAAUCUUAAAACUA